CCUACGGGAGGCAGCAGUGGGGAAUUUUGGACAAUGGGGGCAACCCUGAUCCAGCCAUUCCGCGUGAGUGAAGAAGGCCUUCGGGUUGUAAAGCUCUUUCGCAAGGGAAGAAAACUUAUGAUCGAAUAAAUCAUGAGGUUGACGGUACCUUGAUAAGAAGCACCGGCUAACUACGUGCCAGCAGCCGCGGUAAUACGUAGGGUGCGAGCGUUAAUCGGAAUUACUGGGCGUAAAGCGUGCGCAGGCGGUUUUGUAAGUCGGAUGUGAAAUCCCCGGGCUCAACCUGGGAACUGCGUUCGAAACUGCAAGGCUAGAGUGUGUCAGAGGGGGGUAGAAUUCCACGUGUAGCAGUGAAAUGCGUAGAGAUGUGGAGGAAUACCAAUGGCGAAGGCAGCCCCCUGGGAUAACACUGACGCUCAUGCACGAAAGCGUGGGGAGCAAACAGGAUUAGAUACCCUGGUAGUCCACGCCCUAAACGAUGUCAACUAGUUGUUGGUAGAGUAAAAUCUAUGAGUAACGUAGCGAACGCGUGAAGUUGACCGCCUGGGGAUACGGUCGCAAGNUUAAAACCNAAAUAGAUAGAGCGNGAGAGNGCGAGACGACACGAGGAGAGG
rnacentral:rRNA from 1 species